GACGAACGCUGGCGGCGUGCCUAAUACAUGCAAGUUGAGCGCUGAAGGUUGGUACUUGUACCGACUGGAUGAGCAGCGAACGGGUGAGUACGGGGGGGGGAAUCGCCCUUUGGCCGGGGGCAAACAUUGGGAACGGAUUGUAAUUACGGAAAAAAACCUUUAAAACAAGGUUUAAGGUUUGAAAGUGGCAUUUGAUUAAUCAAAGAUUGACCCGCGUUGUAUUAGCUAGGUUGUGAGGGAAAGGCCCACCAAGGCGAUGAUACAUAGCCGACCUGAGAGGGUGAUCGGCCACAUUGGGACUGAGACACGGCCCAAACUCCUACGGGAGGCAGCAGUAGGGAAUCUUCGGCAAUGGACGAAAGUCUGACCGAGCAACGCCGCGUGAGCGAAGAAGGUUUUCGGAUCGUAAAACUCUGUUGGUAGAGAAGAACGUUGGUGAGAGUGGAAAGCUCAUCAAGUGACGGUAACUACCCAGAAAGGGACGGCUAACUACGUG
rnacentral:rRNA from 1 species